UACCUUAUGUCGUUUGGAUCUGCUAAAA
rnacentral:piRNA from 1 species